AGUGUAACCAUGGAAACAGCAGUGAAGAGUCUCAUAAAAGCCUUCACUUCAGCUGAGUACAAAAUUAUUCGAUCCUGGAUCAUCAUCCGCCCUUAAAGAAAUAGGAACAAAACCAAGUCAUCUAUCUUGAAGGAAAUCUACUUACAGGAACAGAGUUAACCAACCAAACGCAUCGCUGAAGCAGACCAUCAGUGUUAAAAGGAGCACUUAAGAGCAAGUGAAAUGAAAAGCUACGGAUUGAAAACACAUACCUAGGCACACCGUACUGAUGGAAUUACAUGUUUCUUCUAAAUAACGUUAAGAUAACAGCUCCUCUAAGGCAUCUGUUACUUUUCACACAGCACUAAGACUGAACAGGAAGCUGUUCUGGAGACACGUUUGAUUAUUACCUAACAGUUUGUAAGGAUGCUGGUCUACAUUAAACAAGGGGACAUGAAAGACAGCAACACGUUCACGUUGCAUCAGUCACAAGGGACGGCCCUGUACAGAAUAGGAAAGCACAGUGCCUCAGCCUUCCCCAUCGUUACUAUUUUUUAAUAAAUUAGCAAACGUGCCAACUUC